UGUCAUACAUGACUUGUAUUAUUUUGAGCUCCCAGACUUCAUCCUGCUUCAGCUCCUGUCAUCCUGUGCUGUGGAAUUCCUAAACCUCUUAGCUUGAGCCCUGCAACGAUCUGAUUUUCACUCCGUUCUAGGAAGGUUCCAUUCUUCAGUGUGGAGCACAUAUAAGUAUGCAUCUAUAUUGGAGAAAUGAAUGCUAAACAAACGAGGAGGUGGGGCCUUUGAGAGGCCAUUAUAUCAUGAAGGCAGAACACUCAGGAAUGGGGUCAGUGCCGUUAUAAAAGAUGCCCUGGAGAGACCUUUUGUCCCUUCUACCAGAUUGGAAAAGCAUUGGAAAAUUUGUCCAAAGUCACUCAACAGAUUCAUGAUGGAUCCUGGAUUCACAGCCAGCUUUACUUGGCAAUAAAAUUCAAGUCCUGUUCACAUCACAACACAUUUUUACCGAAAGAAAAAUAUGAUGUGUAGAUGUUUGGAGGCAUCCUAUCUUAAUGAGGCUUUUGUUAGAAAGAGUUUUCUUAAAAUUACAGGGUUGGGGAAAUAAAAAAUGUUUGUUGCUCAGAUUAACAAAAAAAUGGUAUAUAGAAAAUAAAGCUAAGAAAGGAAAGUGCAGACAACCAAGAGACUAGAAUUUUCAAUAAAUGGCAAAAUUGUGGUGUUCUGUGGUUACCUCUUGAAGAUUUGGCCUGAAUCAUGCAACAAUUGCCCCUUACCCUCAGUCCUCAAAUUACAAUAGUGAAAGAGGUUUCUAUAGGUAUUAUAUUUGAAUCUGCUAUAUUUUGUUUAUUACUUGCAAGGACAUAUAGGAGAGCAAAAGUUUUCCCUCUAAUUUCUUAGGUUUAGUAACUGGAACUUGUGAAUUAAACUGGCAAAAUACAGAUUAACAGGAGAAGAGUCAUAGACAUUUUAUUUUAAAUUUCAUAUGCAAUGUAGUUCCAGAGAAAAGAAGUGAAAGCCUGAAGAAGCAAUUAGACUUGAGGAGUUAUAUCUUUAACAAAGGGUGGUGAGUGUAGAGAAGUGACUAGAUUUUUUUUAAGAUGGUUUUAGGCUUCCAAGGGUGAUAAACCAUGGGAAGGAAAAUACAUGAGGGAAACUAAUGGUAUAUAGGAGUUAUUUAGUAAGGUUUGUUUACACAGACUAAUCUCAGUGGUAAGAACGGUUUUUCUCCUUUUUCUGGUCAGGGGAAGGAGAAGGGACACCAUCACAAUGGGAAUUUGUGCUUUGCUGGUAGACAAAUAGGAGCAGAGCAGAGAACUUCUUUCUCUCAAUUGUCUUCAGCUCAGAAUAAUCCUUAUGCCAAACAGGCAUAAUUUGGAAUUACAUAUUUUCAUCCUCUCCACACACAAGCUUCCGUAUAAAGUUCAAAGACAGUAGUAUUUUCUUAUAAUUCACUCUGCCCCAAAUAUUAACUAAGAUGACAUUCUUUUUCCAGCUUGAUUCUGCAACAUUCACUUCCAGAAACUUUAUCACUCUUAAUCCUGGAUUGAAGGAAAAUAUUUGAAUGUGAUAAAGGAUAUAUAUUUUAAAAAGAAAGGAACUAUAAUAAAAGGCAAGAUUCAGAAAUUAUGUUGUAAUCUGUGACUUAGUGCAAUUUAGUCCUUGAAUUUCUUGUGUGCAAUUUAUUGAAGCUAUCUUAUUAUAUGUUAAUUCUGUGUCUUCUUUGCCCUCUCUUUUUGUAAAAAUUUUCUUUUUCUGAAUUUUUUUCCAGAGUCAAUCAUUGAUCUUCUUGAUAACAUUCAUUUCCCUUGGUGAACUAACUUUGGUUCAUCGCUUUAUCAUUCUUCUCCAGGCUGUUUUUGAAGGGUCUGUGAGCUGAGAAUGGUUUUUAAUAGAUAAAUGCUCACAAUCAAUUUGGGGAUAAGAAAUAUUAUUUUGAAUCUCAGUUACAAAAAAUGUUAUCCUUCAUAAAAUAAUUCAUUUUUUUCUCAGUAAUAAAAAUGUAUUUCAAAAAUAUGGUGUCCUUAUUAUAUUUUAAAUUUUGCCAAUAAAAAUAAUAAAAAUUGAUUUUCUCUAAUUAUGUAAGUACCUAGAUGAUUUUUAAAAUUUUGUCUCUUGACUUAUACAAAGCCUAAAAUAUUUAUAACUGCC
rnacentral:lncRNA from 1 species